UCGAUACCCUUCUUCUCCACCA
rnacentral:misc_RNA from 1 species